GAGAGAGAGAGAGAGAGAGAGAGAGAGAGAGAGACAUGGAGAUGUGUCAUGAACCUGAACCUGCCAUGCACUGAACCACAAACAGGUAUCCCUGAGCAGAAAAAAUAAACACAUUCUCUGUGUCCCCAGAAAAGGCUAAUUUAGGAAGCAGUGUGGGAACACUUGUACUUAUUUGCAACACACAGUUUAUUUUUAGGGGAUUAAAAUGUUUGCACAUCAAAGCCCAAACUGCUCUCUUUUACAGUUCUGUAACUAACUUCACUUGGCCCUAGUGGGAUAUAUUCUGGAAGACAGGGAGAGUAACAGGGAUUAGGGCAUUUAGCUCUAUUUGAACCAAACUAAGGCAAAUCUAUUGUUCACAAACAGUAGGAUUACUGCUCUGGGUGAGGAAAGACUACUGCAGAGCAAACACUUCUAUUAUCAGAAAUUCCAGGUGCACUUGAAACUUGGAUGAGUCUCCCCAUCUGUCAUUGACUCCUGCACACAGAACAGGCAACACACUUGAGGUCAGUGUUGGAGAUCAAAUCCAGGGCCUCGUGCAUGCUAGGCAAGUUACUCCUCCAGUCUUUGUUUUUCAGGGUUUCUUAGUGAUUCAAUGUACAGCCAGUUUUGAAAACCACUGUCUUGGAACAGAGACACUUUGGGUGGGCACGCUGCUAUACGGCUGAAGGCUGCUCUUUCCAAUUUCCGCUGUAGCUGGGUUUGGCUGUGUGUCUGAGUUUUAGUCUGGACUCUGAACAGAAGUAAUAAAUGCAGUUGUUAGGCAACUGCCUUAAAGAGAGCAAGGCAUACCCCAUCCUCUCACAUUUUUCUAUCUUCAGGUUGGCUGGAAUGUGGACACAAUAGUGUAAUAGAAAUGACCAUUUAGACCAAGAUGGAAGCUAAAUCCUGAGACUGACAGAGCUACAGAGAGAAGUUCAAACACUAUCACGAUGUACUGUGAGGUGCCACAGGCCCAAACCAACACGGGCAAGUGAUCGUCAAUUGAAACUCCUGAAACUGUGAACCAAAAUAAUGUUUUCUCUAUUAAUUUACCACAAGUAUUUUAUCACAGCAAGGGAAAGCAGACAGGUGGGGCUUGGUGGUGCAUGCCUCGAAUUCUGGCACCCAAGAGGUUGAGGCAGGGGCAUUGAAAGUUUGUCAGCUGUAAUACAGUCUGGUCUACAUAACAAGCCUCUAUCUCAAAAAACAUGCACAUAUCCCUGCUCCCAAAAGGCGGGAGGGGAGCAGGAAGCUGUCCGGCUCAGACUCUGCAUUCUUUAAUCAACCUGAGGGUUACAACAAGGAGAUGUCUUGAUUUUUUUUUACUUCAGAUUCCAUAUUGUAUAAUCAUUUUACAACAUGCAUAACUACUUCUAUAAUUGAAAAUUUGUAUCUGUCUACAUGUAUGUAUCUGUUUAUACAGAGAUAGAUACAGAGGCUGGAUAAAGACAGACAAUAAAGGAUAGGUCAAGGACUUCAGAAUUCAAUUACCUGGGACUGCAGAAUAAUUCAAAUAUGUAUUCCUUUGUGUAAUCAAACCCCACAAAUCUUAACUAUAUCUAAUUCUGUGGAAGAAAGAAUGGUGAUCAAAAAAAAAGAGAAAGAAUGACAUUAUAACUUCUGAGUAAGCAAGCUAGUCUGAGCAAAACAGUAUCAUCAAUUUAUUUAUUUAUUCAAAUGUUUCUGUUACAAUUUUAUUUAUCACAGAAUAUGUAUGUGUGGACAUGUGUGGAUUCAGAUCUCUCCUACAUGGAUUAUGGGGGGUUGAAUUCAGGUCACAGCAAGUGCUGUUACCCACUGAGCCAUCUUGCCAGGCCAGCCAUCUUACUUUUCCUAUAAGACCGUAAGUUUUAUAACAGUGUAAACUUCAUUGGCUUUAAAUUUUGUCUGUAUUUGGUCAGUGUGUCUUCCCUUUAUAGUAUACAAGCUUUAGAGAAAAGGAAUUUAAAGCUUUGCAUUCUCUCUCUCUCUCUCUCUCUCUCCAGUAUCUUUAAUGCAAAAUUACUGUUUCUACUCACUUACAAAAAAUACUGUAGGUUUUUUGUUUUUUUUUUUUUUGUUUGUUUGUUUUGUUUGUUUUUUUGUUUUUUUGAGACAGAGUUUCUCUGUAUAGCCCUGGCUGUCCUGGAACUCACUUUGUAGACCAGGCCGGCCUCGAACUCAGAAAUCCGCCUGCCACUGUCCCCCAAGUGCCCCAUGGGAUUAAAGGCGUGUGCCAACCACACCCGGCUUAACACUGUAGGUCUUAAAGAGAGAAUUGUAAAUGUGUCCUUUGAUUAAACGUUGUCAGCGGAUGACACAAGCCGAGGAACUCUACUUUGAAGGCAGUUCUUUCAAGUCAAACCAUCGGAGAGGAACAUGUGAUGUUGGUUUGGGUCAGAAUCAGGAUAGGCCUCAGCCUCUGUUCCCAACCUGGUCCUUUCUCUCUCGGGGUUUUUACUGGCAAGUGAGAAGACUGGAAUCAUGACCUCAGUCAGCUCCAGACCUUCUGGGAUUCUGGAUUUAGUAACGCUAGAAUCCAAACCAUCAGUGAAACAUAAAAGGCCCAAAGUCCUAAUGUCACAUUGCCCCCUUCUGGACCUUUGAAGCAUCCGCAUGAAUCGUUGUAAAAGCAGAGAAUACUAUAUAGCCCAGUCCUCUUAUUUUCUGCCAUAAACAAUCAGAAGGCAGGCUUGAAAGCAUUCUGAUCGAGGUGUUAGGAUGCAAUCCAGGGAAGGCUCUCAAGCUGUGGGAAACAGGACUUCUCACUUCAUAAUGAGAGUGUGAAGACUUCAGAGUAUGGACAGCAAAACCUUUGCUGUGUGACCUUGCAAAGUCCAGUGUCAGCCUAGAGAAAAAAGGCAAGCAAGGGAAUACGACGUAGCCCUCCCGCUGAUUUGGUACGCAGCAUUAGUUUUUACACUCCCCGUGGCAUUUCUGCCCUCUGAAUUCCUCACUGGCUGGGUUCUUCUGUCCUGUCUUCUAAGUCCCCAUCCUAUUGAUUCAGGAUUUGAAGUCUUUCCUAAUGUGUAUCCUGAGAUUUGAGAUUCCUUCCUUUCCUGGUUCAUGGGUCACAUAGCAGAUUGCCUGUAACUUUUCAGUCCUAGGCUGACCUGAGAGGGUCCAGAUAUGUUGAGAGCUAGGGAAAUACAGGGGGCCCAGAGCCUCCUGCCUAACUGUGAUUGUCUAAUGUGCUCUAAAGGCACCUCACACUACAAAUAAACCACAACGACUUAUUUCUUAUGCAUGGAGCUGGAGAGGACUUAUGUUGGGCUGGUGAGGUGGCUCUACCAAUAAUGGCACUUGCCCCCAAACCUGAUGACCCAAGUUUCAUCCCUAAGACCCACUUGGUAGAAGGAGAGAACCAACUUCCACCAUUUCUCCUCUAACCUCCACACCUGCACCACGGCAUGCAAGUACUUGCUCUAACACACAAUCAAUCAAUAAAAGUGUAAUUAAAACAAUUUUACAGAAGUAGGUAUUAACAGAGAAGGCGAAGCCAGGCUAUGGAGAGUUUACCAUUUUCCCUCCAUGUGUUUUACCAAAAUAAGUAAGAUUAUCAGCCGGCUUUUAGCUAAUAUGUGGCACGUGCUAGGAACACUAACUACACCUGACACACACACACACACACACACACACACACACACACACACCACCCCCACCCCCACCCCCGCUUCCUGGCACAGUCUCUCCUCUCUUACUUCUUCCUUUGAGUUUCCUUUUUGCAUCAUCUCAGCAAGUCUUCUGCCAGAUGUGGAAGACCUGCGACCUCAGUGGCUCACUCUGCCCUCCCUGAGUCUCCCUGCUGCUGUGUGACGGCUCAUUUCCUCCAGUUCCAUCCUCACAGUUCCCUCUGCUACCACUUGAUGGCACCUGAGAUCUGUGUGCCAACAUCUGCUCUUCGCCUCUAUAUUUUUCCGGCCGUUCGAAUGGGUCAAGCCCCCUCCCAAGUUGUCCUUGAAAGCAGACCUAUGCAUUCACUGGGUGACAGCCCACAGUGCUUCUGGCACCAUCGUGAGAACAUCUUACUGACAACUGGGAUAACGUGUCCACCUUAAUUCACACCAUACACUAGGUCUUCCUUAGGAGAGCUUGCCUGGACAUCAGGGAGUAAGAUCUAUAUUUGGGUUAGAGUAGGGGAAUGAAACUUCUGGGUUUUUGUUUGUUUGUUUUUGUUUCUUCAGACUUGUUCUUCUCCUGGCUCUCCCCAUUUGGUGAAUGGCAGCACAGAGCCAUAGACACCAACUUUCCUGUUUCCUCACAUUUCAUAUCUAGUCUGCCGGCUGACCCUGUUGGCCUUCUGUCAGAGAACAUCCAGAAAACAAGCUACUUGCCACCAUGGCCAAGCUACCACCAGCUUCUGGUUGAUUCUUUUACUCACUGGUGAGAUGACUCAGUGGCUAAAGACACUUGUCACCAAACUUGACAGCUCCCACACACAUAACACACACACACAAAACAAAUAAAUUUAAAUGUAGAAAUUAUACAGAAACAUAGGUCUCUUUCUGUCCCUGCAUGUUCAUGACCCUCUAGAAAUGUCGAAGUAUCAAGAAAGAUUCUUCUAGAAGACAUCAAAUCAGGUCGCUUCUUUAAAUGCUUCCGUAGCUUUCCUUCUUCUUCACGGUAAAAGCUUAAAAUGUCCUCCAGGACUCUUCCCCGUGUGUCCCCUCUGAGGUCACCUCCUCUAAUACCCCUUCACUCACCUGCACCCCAACCGUGCUCUCCAGGCUCUUAAACACACUGAGCACACUGUCACGCACCUGCACCAGCAUCCGCCGCCACUGUGGGUCUGAUUUCCGGGUUACCGAAUGCUUUCGGGAGUUUUCCCACUCCUCACAAACCAAAAGGAGUUCUCACCUGACUCCGGGAGUAUGGUUUCCUUCACGGCUUGGAAAGUUAUGACUCACCAAGUCAGGCCGUCUCUCCAAUCAGACAGCAUACUUCUUAAGAGUUGCGACCAUGUCUCCCUUAUUUAGACUUCCGGCCCAAGAACUACUGUAAUUUCAAUAGUGUGUCUUAGUUGGGUUUUAAUUGCUGUA